UGGACAUCCCUGCCGUAAUCUAUUUUUUCCAAUUCCCCAUCGCCUUCCUCCACGCUCCACCCCGCCGCACCGCCUCGAGCCCUAGACUGCGACGUCGCCGCAAGUUCCUCCUCCCCCUCGUGUCUGCCGCUUCGGUGCCGGCGUCCCUCCUCUCAAAGCAGCAGCAUGGAGCCAUCAGAGGCGACAACGGCGGAGGAGAACCAGGACGCCACGCCGCUGCCCAAGGAGAUGCUCAAUGAGAUUCUCGCGCGGCUCCCGGCCAAGUCAGUCGGCCGCUCCCGCUGCGUGUCGCCUGAGUGGGCCGCGUUGCUCUCGUCGGCGCACUUCGUGGACCUCCACGCCCGGCGAGCCAACAGGUCGGAUUGCCCUAGGCUGCUCCUUGCUCCAGUGGGCUCCUUGUACGAUGACUACAUCUAUUCAUGGCAGCCUGGUGGUCAGGUUGAGAAGCUCAUGCCGGACGAUUUCGCGGCAAAAGGGUUGCUUGCUCCUGUCACCAAGCCCUGCCAUGGCCUUGUCCUGAUCCGGUGCACUGACUACGGCGGGUACUUUGUUUGCAACCCUUCUACUGGUGCGGUCUUACCUCUCCCUGACAGCGAGAAUCCAUUGAAGAUGAUAUGGCGGCGGUCCUCAUUCCAUGGCGAAGUCGAAUUACCGUAUUUCCAUGAAGUAUCUUACGGCCUUGGUUACUGCUCAAUGACCAAGCAGCAUAAAGUAGUGCGUUUUUUUUUGCCGCAAUGACCUGUCAAGCUGUGAGGUCCUCGUCCUUGACACACCUGCAUACUGGAGGCCUGCUGCCCAAGAGUCUCCGUUGUGCUAUGUCAACGAGGAGAAGCCGGCUGUCUUCUUAAACGGACAUCUGCACUAUCUCUGCCGUGAUGCUGAAAUAAUCACUUUCAACACUAGCAGCGAGACCUUUGGUUCGUUGCUUCCGCCGACAGGUUUUGAGAAUGCAUCACCAGUGCUAACGGAGCUGGAUAGCUGCUUAUGCUUCUGUUAUGGAGAGCCUGACAGUGAUGAUCCUUACCAUGUCUUCCUGCUAAAAGAUUACAUGGAAGGCCGGUGGGACAAGCUAUGUUGCAUUGACCGAAUUGCUUGGCCAGAAACUGAGCGCAUGUUACUGCGAUCUCUCUGCAUUUCCCCACUAGGUAUGUAUCAUUCAGGCGAUGGACAGAGGAAGAUCAUGUUCGGGACAGGAUCUUGUAAAGUUUUUGCAGUGGACAUUGACAGCAACACCCCGGAGAUUUUAUUCACACCAGAUGGGACCAUCAUUGGGAGCUGUGAGGAUGACUAUACCUUGCCGCUUUGUGUGUUUGAGGAGUACCUCGGUCCAGUUGGACGCACACUUGAGGAGAUGAUCUUCUCGUCACUGACAACUAAAGCUUGGUCAGACAUUCUUAAGUGGAUGUCUGCACGCUCGGUCUCUGAGUUGAGUUUGGUCUGCAGGGAAUGGCGUGCAAUGAUCAUGACUGACCGUUUCAUUCAGUCACACGUCAUCCAUGCAAAUUUGAACAAGAACCCUCGGAUCAUGAUAGUUGUUGAUGCCCGUUUUGGACACUAUAUGAAUAUGAAGGACUUCUUUGAUGCGGGUGCACCAGCCUUGUAUGCAAAUCUUGUAUGUAACGCCCAGCCUUGUCACGGCCUGAAUGUCGGGAGUUGCGGUCCAUGGGAUUUUGUGUGUAAUCCGGUGAUGGGUUAUUGUCAGCACAUCGAGUCUGUCGAUGAUGAUGUCCCUUUGUUUGCUGGGCGCAUUGGUUUGGGUUACGACUCAGAAAUUAACAAGCAUGUGCUAGUCCAUACCACCUACAAAGAGAAGAACCUGGACACGUGAGAUUAUGAGCUGCAGUGUAAAUUGCGUUAUGUGAAAGAGCAGCAAUGGCGUUCAGUAGAUCCUCCUCCUAGACCAAUAGCUGAUAUGCCUCCCACCUAUGUCAGUGGCAAAAUCUACUGGAUGGUAGAGCCUAAUCUUGGACCAAUUUCUCUAAGGUGUGAAAUCGUGGCGUUCAAUGUUGCGACAGAUGAAUUUGAGGUUCUGCAAGGUCCUCCAUGCAGCCAUGACAAUGGCCGUAUUUCUAUCCUCCAGCUUCAAGGAGCACUUUGUGUGGCUUGUUCAGACAAGAGCAUGAAUGUACUUGACAUAUGGAUGAUGAAGGACAUUGACACCUGGUUAAUGGAAUACCACAUAGAGCUUAAUGAGUUCUUGCCAGAGUAUUUGUCUGAGAAUACUACACCUUUGCUUGUUGAUCCUAAGGAUGGACGAAUUUUGCUCAACACUGGUUUGUCACUUGGCUACUAUGACCCCAAGAUGCUGGGAUUGGAGACCAUCUACACUGCGGGCAUGCCAGAGCAUGAUGCCAGGUUCUGGCCUAUUAUCUGUGAUGAAAGUUUAUUGUGCCCGCUUGGACCGUCCUAAUCUAUGGUGGAACUACAGCUUCAGCGACCAUCUUUCAUGACCACGUCUCUAAAGGGAGCCCUCAGCGAACGCUAGCUUGACGUUUCUGGAUGUCUCUUCUAUCUUCACUCCCGUUCACCCUUCCUCUAUCAUCUGCAAAAACUUUGCAUUUAUGUUACCAAAAAUUGUAGUGAAGUUUUAAUAAUUAUCUUGUUGAUAGAUAUGCUCUUAGUCUAUAUCGUUUCUGCUGGAGAGGUAAAAGUUGUAUGGAUAAUCAAAUCGUAACAUCGAUUAUUCUGUAGUCAUGCUGAGGCCUGGUCGUGAAAGAAACUACUUGUGGAUGCUUGGUUA